UUUAAUCUCAAGAGCAGAGCCAGGUGGAGCUCUGUGUGUUUGAGGCCAGCCUGGUCCAUAGAGUGGGUUUCAGGAAAGCAGAGGCUACACAAUAAAACCCUGUCUGGAAAAAAAAAUGUCAUGGUCAAAUUCAGGGAAAUGACAGAUUUGGAGGUCACAGCCUAACGUUCGGUUCUGAAACACUCAGAGCCCUACGAUAUUGUGAGUAGCAUGUCUGGAGUCACACAAUUUCCUUGGCAGCAGUUGUCACAGGCCCUGUCCAUUGGGAUGCCAAACCUGACCACAUGGGCGCAAGGUCAGGGGAUUUGUCUUGGUUCUAGAUCCUAGAAUGACACCCCUACAAAAUGAGGUCAAGUGGCUGGAGAAAUGGCUUCAUGGUUAAGAAGAGCAUUUGAUCCACAAACAUGAGGACCUCAGUUCAGAACCUAAUACCCAAGUAAAAACCAAGAAAGGCGGGUGUGGCCGUGGGUGUGGGCGUGGCCGUGGGUGUGGGCGUGGCCGUGGGCGUGGCUGCAUGCCUAUAACAGCAGCCCUGAGUAGGGCAGAGACAGGAGAAUCAGAAGGGUGCAACGGUGCAACGUCCCUGCCUAACCGUGGAUCCCUGGCUCAAGGGAAUAAGACUACAGUGACAAAGAUGGACACCUGAUAUCCUCUUCUGGCAUCCCUAUGCAGGCACUGGUGUGUGUUUGUAACACACGUGCACACGAGCGCGCGCGCGCGCACACACACACACACACACACACGCAUGCACGCGCACAGCCGCAGAUUCACAGUGGGAGAACACUGAACAGCUCCAAGUGCUUCGAGGCCCACACUCGGUUGCCUUGGUAGCAGCAGAUGUGCCCGUCCUCCGCAGCUCUCACUGACUAAUGGCCACGCUGUGAGCAUGCCCAAUGGAGACACUGACAGAGCCAGGGCUCAGAUCGAAGAUGAAAUGUCUGCUCGUCCCUGCUGUAGACUGAAUUGAACCAUGUGACCUUCAGCAUCUCACUUUGACAAGGGGGUCACAAAAGAUGGUCUUAGGCAAUUCCUGGGAAAGAGGAAUUCAACCCCAAGGGGUCGCAACCCACAGGCUGAGAAACAUUGGCUUGGAGCUUCCUCGGUUCCCCUGCAAGAAUGGAGUGGAGGGAGAGGAGAGAAGGAAGGAGGGAAGGAGGGAAGAAGGAAGGGAGCUGUUCCAGGUGCUCAGCCUCCUGUCCAUAGGAUGGGAGGGAAGGAGGAUGCAGAGGAGAGAAGGGAGCAGGUUUCCAAGUCCAGAGCCCUCUUCCUUUCGAGUACCUGGUAAGUUGGGGGUUAUCAUCCCUCACUCUCUGAGUAGAAGCUGCCUUAGUAAAUGGCCUUUUGGGCAAGUUCCUUCACCUCUCUAUGCCUCCGUUUCCUCAUCUGAAAAAUGAAGGUAAGAGUGAGAGCAUCUCUGGCGUGAUACACCCAAGUGUAUCGUGAAGCACUGUUAUGACGUAAAACGACAACUUUACAAACCAGAGCCUUGUCUAUUGCAUUAGAAUAUAUUUGUUAAAAUCACACAGUGCAUCAUUUCUUUAAAAAAAUUAAUAACUUCCUUGGGAGGCUGAGGCAGGAGGAUUACCAUGGUUUCAAGACUUCCCUGGGCAACAAGGGAAAAUGGCAGGCUAGCAUGGGCUACAGAGGAAGACCAAUCUCAAAAACAAACAAACAAACAAAACCCCAAGUUUCAACAUUGUCAAUGCCCGCUAUAUGAAUUCAUUUUCACUUAGUUUCCUCCUGCUGAGGUGAGUUUGGGCAGGGUUAAUAGCCCUCACAGUUACAGGAGGAGCAUCGGAGGGAGAGGUACCAAGGAGGUGCCGGAAAAGAGGAGGAGAAAGAAUUCCCAGGGAGCUGCAGACCAGAGGACUCGUGGGGAGGACAGCCAGUCAGCCUGUCAGGUCAGCAUCCGGGAGCCUGCUGGAACUGAACACACAGGAGGUUAGGGGACUUGGGACCUGGCAUUCUCCACUGAAAGCUUGCAGGUGGCAGGGAUCUGAGCCUCUAACCCAGAUUCUCCCUCAAAGCCUGUGGUUCCCUGGCACUGUUUUGAGACGGCGCCAUUGACAAGGGCCAAAAGCUACUUAGGCUGUGAGGGUGAAGCCGAUAGAACCAGUCCCCAGGUCCCCGGCAGCCUUCCAGGUCCUCUCAGGAGCUCCUCAGGUUUCUGGCCCAGUGAAUGACUAACAGGGGCCUCUCCAAACAGAUCCAGUUGCACUCCCAGUUGCUGCCAGUCAGGGGCCCAUGAGGAGGUCAGCCUUGGGCUCUCUCCUCUCUGCUGCUCACCCAGCCUCGUUUGAGGCAGAUUCCAAGGGAACCCUGAACUUGCCAGUGGCUUUUAUCAUUUUGUUUUGCUUUUAUUUCCACUCCGUGGCUUGAGCAAAUCAAUGAGCCUCUUCUAAGCCUCCAUCUUCCUACCAGUGUGGGAUAAGAAGAUGCUGGAGGACGGAGGGAACUGAGUCACAGUGGUUUGCCCAGUUCAUGGCCUGUAGCAAGGGCUUUGUAAACACUGGCUACCUCAUGCCAUCAUUCCCAUCCCUGACGGUUAAGAUGUGUGUCCCUCUGAGACAGAAUUCCUUGUUUAAUUAGAAAAGGCUGUCUUCAUCAAACCUGAAUGGAAAAGAGAAACGGCUUACUGUCCAUUCAGUUCUUUAGGUCCAGAUUAGUGACUUCUUCUGGGUCACUGGCUGGUGGUGAUGCUGCACAGAACCCAGGCCUUUGAGUCCCCAUUGCCCCCUGCCAUUGCUCUAUCCUGUGUCUUCACAGACACCUGACCCUGUUGUCCCGAGGGCCACACCCGAAUACAGAGCAGAGAGAAUCAAUGCACACAGCUGCUCUUGUCUUUGUCCUACUCUCCUGCAGUGCAUUGUGGGAAACUCCUCUCGGCUCUAGGAAGAAUACGUGCCAAUUGACAUGAUGCUUCUUGCUUUUUUAAUGUCAAAAAACACACCGUCAUGGUUUCCUCUCCAAUAUUUAGUUUGCCCUUUAACUUCAACCCUGCGCCUCAGUCAUGGCUGCUUUUCUCCAGUUCAAAGGAGAACAGAGGAAACAUGUCUGUCAGACACACACACACACACACACACACACACACACCACCCUCUUUCUCUGUGUGUAUGUGUGUGUGUGAAUGUAUGUGUGUGUGAGUGCAUGUGUUUGUAUAAGUGUGUACAUGUUUGCAAUGUUCAUAGUGUGUACACAUGCAUGUGUAUGUGAAAACCAAGGCAGGUAUGUAUGGUCUGGGGCCUCUCGUCUCUUGAGAAAGAGGAGAGGAAGAACUGGUCUUAGGAAAAUCAUGGCCCAGAUAAAGUUUAGUGCUAAAUUGUGAAGACCACAUGCAUUGCUAAAAAAAUUUUUGGGGGUUGGGGAUUUAGCUCAGUGGUAGAGUGCUUGCCUAGCAAGCGCAAGGCCCUAGGUUCGGUCCUCAGCUCCGGAAAAAAAAUUUUUUUUUCUUUUUUUGUAAGUUUGAAUUGUGAUUUAGCCAAAACCUGCUUUGCCUAAAAUUAAACAACACAGUGGGGUGAGGAAAUAUCUGGACCAGAAAGACUCAGAGGAGUUCAAGGGCAAACUCUACCUCAAGCUGCCUCCGAGACCUUGGCCUUCUCUGGGUGUCUGUUUCCUGUCUGGGAUGAUGCCGCUCCCCUGGGCUUUGUCAGGUAUGAAAUGAUUGGCAGUCUCUGCCUGAUGUAGUGUCGGUUACCAUGAGAAAACCUCCCUCGGUGGCAUUUAAGGAAGGUCCAAUCCCUCUGUGUUUGAAGCUUUCUGUUACCAGGACAAGGUACCUGAGCUAAUCAGCAGAGGUUUGCCUGCGCGCCGACAGGAAAACCUCAGGAAGCACAAUGAACGGACUCUCAAGAGGAUCUGGGAGCGGGCGGGAGAAGCCAGUUCCAUCAAAAUUAAAAA